AGAGUUUGAUUAUGGCUCAGAACGAACGCUGGUGGCGUGUCUUAUACAUGCAAGUCGAGCGAGGCAGCAAUGCCGAGCGGCGAACGGGUGAGUAACGCGUAAGCAAUCUGCCCCAUAUCAGGAAAUACCCGUGCCAACGCGCGGUUAAUGUCCAGGAGAGUGGCUCCUUGCAUGAGGAGUUGACUAGAGAUUUAUCGGUAUGGGAUGAGCUUGCGUCCGAUUAGCUAGUUGGCGGGGCAACGGCCCACCAAGGCGACGAUCGGUAGCCGGCCUGAGAGGGUGAUCGGCCACAUUGGGACUGAGAUACGGCCCAGACUCCUACGGGAGGCAGCAGUAGGGAAUAUUGCACAAUGGGGGAAACCCUGAUGCAGCAACGCCACGUGUGGGAAGAAGCAUUUCGGUGUGUAAACCACUGUCAUGAGGGAAUAAGGCCCGCCUCCGGGCGGGAUUGAAUGUACCUUGAGAGGAAGCACCGGCAAACUUCGUGCCAGCAGCCGC
rnacentral:rRNA from 1 species